rnacentral:misc_RNA from 1 species
AGCAGCCGCGGUAAUUCCAGCUCCAAUAGCGUAUAUUAAAGUUGUUGCAGUUAAAAAGCUCGUAGUUGAACUUCGGGGUCUACCCAUUGGUCAGGCUUAAUUGUCUGCACUGGUGGGAUGGAUCUCUACCUUCUGAGGAACUUUCAUGCCAUUUAUUUGGUGUGAUUGGAAAUCAGGACUGUUACUUUGAAAAAUUGAGUGUUUAAAGCAGACUAUCGUCUGAAUACAUUAGCAUGGAAUAAUGAAAUAGGACGGACUGAUUCUAUUUCGUUGGUUUCUAGGAUCACCGUAAUGAUUAAUAGGGAUAGUUGGGGGCAUUAGUAUUCAAUUGUCAGAGGUGAAAUUCUUGGAUUUAUUGAAGACUAACUACUGCGAAAGCAUUUGCCAAGGAUGUUUUCAUUAAUCAAGAACGAAAGUUAGG